GCGGUAGCUCAGGGGUAGAGCACCUGUUUUGCAUGCAGAAGGUUCCAGGCCCAAUCCCUUGCAUCUCCA